AAAAUUGCAUAUUCAUUUUUGCAUGAUCCUGUUAGACCGCUAAUUAUCACGUGAGUCCGAGUUUUAGGACCUACCGCUUAUCCGGAGUGGAGCUUUUUAAAUAUUGUGGCGGCCUUUCGCAGCGGAGCACUAACGGUUGCGGUUCGAAGUAGUCUGACUUGAAGAACUAUCAAUAUUAACAAGAUGGUAAUGUUAGCUGUUUUUGCCUUUGAUGAUUUUUCUGUCGACAUUGGUGAGCUCUCCUGGAUUGAGGGAGAAUUUGACGAGCAGAAUGAAGCACAAGAAUAUGUCGUGCGAUGGAGGGAACGAAAUGGAAAAGUUAAACUUUGUUCGGCCAAAAUAAUGGCAACCGGAGAGGAUAGGAGAGAACUGGUCGAAGUGAGGAAGAAAGCGGAGUUAGGCCUUCUGGAUGUGGCAGUCACACCUACCUACAUCUAAAUGUGGAAAAGGCCAAAGGCGAAAAAUUCCAAAUUCAAAGAACGUGCCAUCUGAGGAUGGAAAUGAUGAGCAUGUGGCCGAGCCGAAGACCAAGUCAAAACGCAAGCAGGCAACAACUGCACAAAGUGCCAGCAAAAGUAUUUUGCAGAAGUACAAAAAUGCACAAAUCAUGCAACUGAGACCCCAUCUGGCUCAACUGAGACUCCUUGUGGCAAAAGCUGAAGCACGCAAGGUCUUCCCCGAGGCAGCGGAAGCUGACAUCAGGCGCUUCAUGAGGGAAAAAUUGUCGAAUGCAGCCAAAACUCUGCGGCGUAAAGAGAAGUCUGACCGGACUUAAUGCUAUAUAUGGAGAUUUUAAUCAGAAUGUUAGCGAAAAGUUCGAUCUGUAAGUACUACAUUUAUAUAUCAACAGCUAAGCCAGUGAUUUCA